rnacentral:rRNA from 1 species
AGCGAACGCUGGCGGCAGGCCUAACACAUGCAAGUCGAACGAAGUCUUCGGACUUAGUGGCGGACGGGUGAGUAACACGUGGGAACGUGCCUUUAGGUUCGGAAUAACUCAGGGAAACUUGUGCUAAUACCGAAUGUGCCCUUCGGGGGAAAGAUUUAUCGCCUUUAGAGCGGCCCGCGUCUGAUUAGCUAGUUGGUGAGGUAAAGGCUCACCAAGGCGACGAUCAGUAGCUGGUCUGAGAGGAUGAACAGCCACAUUGGGACUGAUACACGGCCCAAACUCCUACGGGAGGCAGCAGUGGGGAAUCUUGCGCAAUGGGCGAAAGCCUGACGCAGCCAUGCCGCGUGAAUGAUGAAGGUCUUAGGAUUGUAAAAUUCUUUCACCGGGGACGAUAAUGACGGUAACCGGAGAAGAAGCCCCGGCUAACUUCGUGCCAGCCGCCGCGGUAAAAC